CUUGAGCAAGGAGUGUGGCCGAGGCAUUUUUUAUGUAUGGGGGCGGGACCAAGAAGGUGGGCUCAGCGAGAAAGACUCAUAGGUCUAGCAUUCCUUCGACAUAAAAACACCUUUCUCUCCGAUUUGCCCUCAGCUCACUCUCGCGAUCUCUUCUCUCCUUCCGCCUUGGGCAUUCGCAAGUCUCCCACCUCCCUCCUUUGGAUUCGCAAGCCCAGGCAAGGACCGAAGCCUCUCCCUCUCCCAUCUUAUUUCUGCCUCUCUCAACCCAGCCAAGCCGAUGAUACCUCCUUCCCGUCUGACUCCGCCGCCAGGACCAAACCCAAAGCCUGCUGAACACCUUCCCUAGCCGUUAGCCCCUCUUAGUUUGCAAGGGGUUUUGGGUGAACUUCAAGUUGAUAGUUUCAUCAUUAUCUCAAUCAAGCAUUUGUAUAAAUUACAACUUUUUGCUAGUUUGUGUUAUGUAUUCUUAUAAAUCUUGCACACCAAGUGUUUGGUGAAAUGUGGUUAAUGAGAGGUUGUGGUGCUUGGUUGGCAACUCAUAAAACUUAAGCUUGUAUAUGAAAUGUUUUAACCAAAUGUUUGGUGAGCAUAUUUAGAUGUAAAAAUUUCACAUUGUCUCUUUUCUAUAUCAUUGUGAGGUUAGACAUAACUAUAUUUGCUAAGAUUCCACCAAAAA